rnacentral:rRNA from 1 species
GAGUUUGAUCAUGGCUCAGAACGUACGCCGUUGGCACGCCUAACACAUGCAAGUCGAACGCAGUAGCAAUACUGAGUGGCAAACGGGUGAGUAUAAUGUGGGAAUCUGCCUUUUGGUUUGGAAUAACACGGGGAAACUUGUGCUAAUACCGAAUAAGCCCUUACGGGGAAAGUUUUAAUGCCGAAAGAUGAGCCCGCACUUGAUUAGCUAGUUGGUAAGGUAAAAGCUUACCAAGGCAACGAUCAAUAGCUGUUCUUAGAGGAAGACCAGCCACAUUGGGACUGAGACACGGCCCAGACUCCUACGGGAGGCAGCAGUGGGGAAUCUUGCACAAUGGGGGAAACCCUGAUGCAGCGAUGCCGCGUGAGUGAAGAAGGCCCUUGGGUUGUAAAACUCUUUCGUCGGGGUAGAAAAUGACUGUACCCGAAUAAGAAGGUCCGGCUAACUUCGUGCCAGCAGCCGCGGUAAUACGAAGGGACCUAGCGUAGUUCGGAAUUACUGGGCUUAAAGAGCUCGUAGGUGGUUAAAAAAGUUGAUGGUGAAAUCCCAAGGCUUAACCUUGGAACUGCCAUCAAAACUUUUUAGCUAGAGUGUGAUAGAGGUAAGUGGAAUUUCUAGUGUAGAGGUGAAAUUCGUAGAUAUUAGAAAGAACACCAAAAGCGAAGGCAACUUACUGGGUCACUACUGACACUGAGGAGCGAAAGCAUGGGUAGCGAAGAGGAUUAGAUACCCUCGUAGUCCAUGCCG